GUUCAGGGAAGCCUAGUGUACAUGGCAUCUGCCCGGUAAGCGGAACACUGUGGGUUCGAUUCCCAUCCCUGGACA